UGAAGGCGCGGCAAACGGCUCAGUAACACGUGGCUAACCUACCCUUGGGACGGAGACACUCCCGGGAAACUGGGGCUAAUCCCCGAUAGGUAAGGACUCCUGGAAUGGAUCCUUGCUGAAAAGACGUUGAGUCCAUGCUAUUCAGCGUCGCCUAAGGAUGGGGCCGCGGCCGAUCAGGUUGUUGGCGAGGCAACGGCUCACCAAGCCUAUAACCGGUACGGGCCGUGAGAGCGGAAGCCCGGAGAUGGGAACUGAGACAAGGUCCCAGGCCCUACGGGGCGCAGCAGUUGCGAAAACUCCGCAAUGCGCGAAAGCGUGACGGGGCUAUCCCGAGUGCCGCCCGUUGAGGGCGGCUUUUCCAUGGUGUAAGGAGCCGUGGGAAUAAGGAGAGGGCAAGCCUGGUGUCAGCCGCCGCGGUAAUACCAGCUCUCCGAGUGGUGAGGACGAUUAUUGGGCUUAAAGCGUUCGUAGCCGGCUUAACAAGUCUUCCGUUCAAUCCAACGAUUUAAUCGUUGGUCUGCGGGAGAUACUGUUGGGC
rnacentral:rRNA from 1 species